ensembl:lncRNA
GUUUGAUUAGUUUGGCAUCAUGGGCCGAAUUACACACUAUUCUUAUCAUUCUGACAGGACAAUAUGAGAUUUUUCACAAAUUCGUAUUACAGGAGUAAAUUUGAUCUUAAUUUAAGAAUCUUACUAAUCGAACUAGGAACGUGCCUUUUAUUCCACCGUUUGACGUACAGACUUUCUCUCAAAGCUCACUUCCACGCUGUAGGUUAAUCCAUCUGCUCUUUACUCUGUAUGUUGCGCUUGUGCAGUUUUGCAGCUCCUGCUAUAGAGAGCUGUUCUCUUUCGUGCAGGUGCUUUAAGCCUGUGCCCGUGGACCAUCAACUCAGUAAGACUUUGUAAUUCAAACCACGAAUUUUCAUAUUAGCACACAGACUACCUGAAAUGGUACAGUAGCUGAUCUUACUUUUGCUUUCGUAUUACCCAAAUAGUUCACAUUCUUUCCACACCACUGCUGCAAAAACAAGCAAAGUGAAAGUAAAACUUUGACUGCACUUCCUGCCCGCCUAUAGAAGCCCAGACAAACAGCAGUUUUUUCUCUAUUUUUUCUCUAUUUCAAGAGAUUUACCUCAUAAGGAAUCUAGACUACUUCAUCAGAACUGCACAUGAAUUCGGUUAAUAAUGAAUUAGGCAAUAUGAUAAAUGAUUAAGCCACAGAUGUUAAGACAUUUUAUACUUCAGGCAGCUCUGAUGAAGGGAAGGGAGACGGAAAGUCUAACAUGACUUUUCAUCACUGGAGCAAGACGGCAACACACCACUAAGAUCUUUGUCCAGUAACAGUGUGCUGAGCACAGAAGAACAAUGAUUCUUAAGAGGAACAAGUAAAAAUGCCAUUAGUUUCUGAAACGGCUGAAUAGUUCUCGCUAGUUUCACUCGAGCAGGAAUCAGAGUGGAAAGACGUCAUUAAAGACGCUCCAUUUGAACGCACUGAUUUGAAGUGAAGAUGCUUUGGAUAAAGGAGGCUAUAAAUGCAAUGAUGGAAACUAAGAGGUGGACGCUCUGGAAGGCCAGUCAGGUGAGGAGAUGGACUGGGAAGCCGAAGGAGACGGACGGGGCUGGAGGAGCAGAUCUGAUGGAGGUUAGUGAUGAAGAAGAAGGUAUUCAGGAGAUCCCAAGCGCUGAUUGGAGCGUGAGAGAAGGUCCAGAGUCCUGGUGAUUCCCCAGAGAACUCUGGGCAGAGGAGUCCGAGGUGUAGCUCAGUCAUGUGAUCUCCGCAUGGAUUCUGGGAGAUGGAGUCCAUGACUCUCUGAGAGCUAGCUGGAUGCGUGACACCUGUAUUCCUUUAUUGAGCCACUAGAUGGUGUAAACACAUCAGAAAAGGCUGACUUGGCAUUGGAGGAGCACACCGAGAGAAACUGACACAGAAAAGGGUCUAAUAUAUAAGCUGUGAACACACUAGCAGUAGUGCAGUCAGGAGGAGGCUGUGAAUAAAAGUGUUGUCCAGAAAGAUGAAACAGAGCUGUAGAAGAUCCUCAAAUGACUGAGAAAGUUGUAGAACAUCAAGAAAGAAGUUCCAACAAAGUUAACCUCCAGAAAGAAGUUCAUUCAUAUCAAGAAUGUCCAUGAAAUGAAUAUCCCGAAUACUUCAUACCUCAAUAUUAGUGACAAAACCUGGUAAAAAGAGAGUUUCAGUAUAGAUUAUACAGAAUAUAAUAACUCCAGAUCUUUAAAACAUUGAAUCAAGCAUCUACAUUUUUUGGAGGUGUCUAUAUUUGCAUUUUACAAAUCUGCAUUGUACAAAUUACAUUUAUUGUUAUUAUUAUUAUUAUUAUUUAUUAAUAGUGGCAGUAGUGUUGAAUGUUAUUGCUUUUUCAUAUUUAAAUUUUUUUAGAAAAGCAGUUUCAUUAGGUUCUUUAUCUGUUCUAUGCAUUAAUUCGCCUGCAGAAGACCCAGCGAACCCAGCGUUGUUUUAUCAUGUUCAUUUGUGUUAGAUAAUGCCAGAACAAGUCAUUGGCUAGAAUAUUUAUUUGUAUGUUUUUUUCUUUAGUUUGCUCCGUUUUGACGUGUGGGAACACUCCUCGUGUAUUCGGGUCUGUAUCAGACACCGGUUUGGCAAAACCUACAGGUCUCGGUCCAACCAAACCCUGCUGACUUUACUGCUGGUGGGAUGCGUUUUAUGUGGGAAUUCUUCAGGCUUUUCUCCUCUUCUAGCUGCACGUUAGCGCUUUACUGCCAGCAUAAACUGCCUGUU